rnacentral:rRNA from 1 species
CCUACGGGUAGCAGCAGUGAGGAAUAUUGGUCAAUGGGCGCGAGCCUGAACCAGCCAAGUAGCGUGAAGGAUGACUGCCCUACGGGUUGUAAACUUCUUUUAUAAAGGAGUAAAGUGAGGCACGUGUGCCUUUUUGUAUGUACUUUAUGAAUAAGGAUCGGCUAACUCCGUGCCAGCAGCCGCGGUAAUCCGGAGGAUCCGAGCGUUAUCCGGAUUUAUUGGGUUUAAAGGGAGCGUAGAUGGGUUGUUAAGUCAGUUUGGAAAGUUUGCGGCUCAACCGGAAAAUUGCAAUUGAUACUGGCAGCCUAGAGUACAGUUGAGGUAGGUGGAAUUCGUGGUGUAGCGGUGAAAUGCUUAGAUAUCACGAAGAACUCCGAUUGCGAAGGCAGCCUACUAAUCUGCCACUGACAUUGAUGCUCGAAAGUGUGGGUAUCAAACAGGAUUAGAUACCCGAGUAGUC